rnacentral:lncRNA from 1 species
CUGCCUUUCAACAAAUCCUUAGCAAUCAUGUGCAUGCUAAGGCUUCAGAAGCACUGUACUACACUGUGAUGUGAUCAAUUAACUUUUAAGAUGCUCUUUAAAUCAUUUCACAGAUAUAUUUCCUAAAAGUAACUCAUAACCUGAACAUUCAAUCACAUGCACCUCAGGAAACCCCACUGUUUUCAGUAGUGCUUCUCAAAUUAUUCACCAGAUGUUGGACUUCCUUGUCCAAAUGCAGAUUCCCGCUUCACACUUCAUACCUGUGAAGUCAUGUAUAUAUACAUUUUAGGGUUGCAUCUGUAGCAUAUGGAAGUUCCCAGACUAGGGGUUGAAUGGGUUUGAAUUGGAGCUGCAGCUGCUGGCCUAGCCACAGCCACAGCAAUACCAGAUUCAAGCUGUUUGUGACCUACACCAAAGCUCAUGGCAAUGGUGAAUCCUUAUUUAACCCACCAAAUGGGGCCAGGGAUUGAACCCAUGUCCUCAUCUUGAUGUUCUUAUAUUUAAUAUGGAAUUUUUGCCUAUUCGUUCAUUUUAAAUGCAUUUGCUUAUUUAAUCUUUUUUGAGUGUCCACCAUCUGCAAGACUCUACCUAUACGCUUGGAAAUUUAUGAUUAAAUAAGACACUGACUUUUGUCUGAAAUACUCAGUCUGGGGCGUUCCCUGGUGGCCUAGCAGGUUAAGCAUCCAGUGUUUUCACCACUGUGGCACAGAUUCAGUUUGUAACCCAGAAACCUUUGUAUGCCAUGAGCACAGUUAAAAAAAUUGAAAAAUAAAAAAUAGUCUGGUUGACAGCACGUAGACUAUCAUUCAAUUUGAUGAGGACCACUUUACAUAAUGUACAGUAGUUUAAGAGCCAAGAAGAGGGCUCCUCAGUUAUUACUGUGAAUGGAGCCUUUUAGGGAAGAAGAAGACCAGAUUACUUUUUGAAGAUAUGUACAAGGUGGUUAGAUCAGCAUCGUUUUAAUAAGUUCUUCCAGAUUAUGUGUUUCCUAGGCACAGUUUUUUAUUGAUUCAUUGAUCAGGUCAUAGGAAUAUAACUAUGGAAAGUAAUAACCAAAUAAUUAUUUUCAAUUCUUAAGCAUAUGUGUUUUCCCUGUCUUCUCAGACAACUGUGCAGUCCUUAAGCCAAUAGGUUCUCUAUUUCCCUUGUAGGUUCCCAGUGGCAUUUAGACAAAGUAUAUAAAUGCACAUAUUGUGCAACUAACUCAAGAACAUGUUCCUAUAAUACACAAUAGAGCAAUUUCCUCUUAAUGGAGAAGAAGAUAUUGAUUUGACCUGAUUAUUUUUUUUCUCUGGGGGGUGGCUGUAGAGUGGGGAUAAGUGUUGUCUGCCCAUAAUUAUCCACUGAGUACAUCAAAAAAGAACUUUAAAUUGAUGAACUUUAAAUUACACUGGACUUUGAAUGAUGGCAGUGCCAUCGUUACCUAGAAAAGGUCACAUAUGUGGAAAUUGUCAGAAAUCGGAAGCCGAACACCCAGAGACACUAUGGGGCGUUUUUUCAAGUCUCAUUUGUGCAUGAGUCUCUGGGGAGGAAGAACACUUCUGAUGAAUGGAUCAAAGAGAUGAACCUGGUCUAGGAAACCUUAGAGGGAAUCUUGGCUUAAAACGUUUUAAGAAAGAGUGGGGUUUAAUUUCUUAAGUUUACUAAUCUUUCUGCUUAUUCACAUGGUGGACAAUAAUUUGUGGACUGUCUACAUUUUGUCAUUUGUUGUUUCUGCUGAAACCUGGUGUGACCUCACCAUUGCCUAAAGCGUUACAACACUAAGGGCCUUUCCUACAGGAAAAUAUUUUACACAGUACUAACUAUAUAGUUAACCAAAUGUGUUGCUAUGUAAAAGAAAACUAUACAAGAGCCAUACAAAAAAAUAGGCACUGUAUGGAGAUGCCAUUGUCUAAUGUCCCAGAUUCAUCUCGUUUGGUUCUAGAUCAGGUGGAACUGACUUAUUCAACAAAUAUAAUCAGUGCUAUGCCCGGAGUCCACAUAUUUCUUGGGGCCCAAGAAAAUGUUUUAAUUCCUUUUAAAAUCAGAAGGAAGAAAAAAACCCUGAACUUUUAGGUUAAAUAAAAUGUCUGAAUAUAUACUAUUAAUGCAUUGAUCUUCGUACCAAUACAGUUGUAGAAUGUAAUUUUCAUUUAUUUUAUUUUUAUUGUUUAUAAUGGAAGAACCAUGCAAGCAAUGGUACCUUAAACACAUAAAGGUCAUAAUACAGCUAUAGCAGCAGAAACAGGGGGCUUCCCCCUCCCCACCCACUAGGUGUCUGAGGAUCGCUUUCCUUGACUAAUGAACUUCCUUCUGAAGGAUUGUGUAUUACUUUCCCAGGGUUGCUGUGAUAUCAAAUAUAAUUAAAAACAAAAAACAGUAACAACAACAACAAUAACAAGUACCACAAACUGGCUCAAAAUGAUAGAGCUCUUGUUCUUCUUUCACAGGGCUAGGGGCUAGAAGUCCAAGAUCCAGGUGUUGGCAGAGUUGGGUCCUUCUAAAGGACAUUCUAUUCCAAGUCUCUCUUUGAGCUUCUGGUGACAGGCUUUGAUUCUUGGUUCCCUUGCUUUGCAGCUGCAUCCCUUCAGUCUUUUGUUGCUGCUAUUAUUACAUGCUAUUCUCCCUGUAUGGUUCCAUCAACAUUUCUCUUUUCUUAUAAGGACCAGUCAUAUUGGAUUAGGACACAUUGUAAUGACCUCAUCAUAGCUCUCCAUUCCAUCUGCAAAGAUUUAGUUACAAAUAAGGUCACACUCACAGACACUAGAGAUUACAACUUCAGCAUCCCUUUUUGUGUGCAUAAUUCAACCUAUAUAGAUUAUUUACAUAGGAUACUCAGAAGAGGACUAAACAGAAUGGAUGGUUCCCCUCCUGAGGGCAGAGAGGUGAGAUGCUGAUUAGUCAUCUCAUCGUAGGUGGUGUUGAUGACAGAGGCCCAGCCUCUUAUCUCCUGUCGCUCUGUGAUCCUCUAGUAACUAGACAACAAACCAGGCCUUUAUUGCAGGGCAACAGGCCUACUCCCUUGCUGGACAAUUUGUUAAAAUCGCUGAUGAUGUCUCUCCUCCAGUCUCUUUUUCAUUCUGGGGAAAUCUUAUCACCGCUUCUUAUUUCUUUCAGAGGUGGUGUCUCCUGAUAUCCUCCUUUUGUCUUAUUUAUAAGACCUAUUUAACUGAAAAUCUGAAACUUUAAUCAUGGAAAAACUAGUUUCCUCUUAUCUACGUCAGAAAAGGUUUAAUGUUUAAACCAUCUCUGGGGGGAGAGGUGAUAGAAACCUUUGUCUUUUACGGCAAAGGAAGAAAACAAACCCAAACCUGCCAAACCAAACAUAAUCACUCUGGUUCCAAAGUAGAGCGAACUGGUCACUUAUACCCUGACAUGGGUGCCAUGCCACAGAGGAGAGAAGAAUUCAUUUUUCUUUGAGGGAAAAUUGUGAGCAUAGUAGCCUUGUAGAGGAGAUAGUACUGGAAGUAGGAAGACAAAUUGAUGACUGCUGGACACAGACAGAGAAUUUUUUGGAUCAGGGAGGUGGGAAGAGGAUUCCAGGCACAGCUCCCAGCAUGAAUAGAGAACCCAGAGUCACAGCAGAUGACAUGUUCACAAAAUGACAGCCCAGUGUGAAUACAGGACUUCUGGAUACAGGACUGGAGUUGUGGAGUGGCAGAGUGCAAGUUGAGCCUAGAAAGGACUAUUUAUUAGACAUCAUUUUACCAUGAUUCUCUAUGGGAGAACUAUUGAAAUUUCUCCUAUUGGAAUUACUUCUACUCCAGGAAUCUAAGCACACAAAAGUGAUGCCAUAAUACAGAUGCCCCUGGGUGGGAGAAGGAUGCUAGUUUUCUAAGGCUGCUGGAACAAUAAUCAGGAACUUAGAGGCUUACGACAACACAAAGGUAUUAUCUUGCAAACUGAACGUCGGACGUUGAAAUGAAUCCCACUGGAUGAAAGCAAAGUGUUGAAAGGGCUGUCUUCCUUUCAAGAGGCUCUGUGGAAGAAUCUGUUUUCUUAGCUUUUCUGACUUCUGGAGGCAACCCUUAUUCCUGGGCUUAUGCCCCUCUUUCUAUCUUCAAGGCUAGCAAUGGCUGGUGAGUCUUUCUCAGACCAUAUCACUGAAACACUAUUUUUGCCUCCCUGUUUCAGUUAUGGGGCCCCUGUGAAUACCUUGGACUUACCAAGAUCAUCCAGGAUAAACCUCUCCUUCAAGGUCAGGUGAUUAGUAUUCUUAAUUUCAUCUAUAAUCUUUAUUUACCCUUGCCAUAUCCAUGGGGUCUAGGCCUUAGAGAAUUGGAAGAAGGGUGUUAUUCUGUUUUCCAUAAAGUUCCCUGUUUAUAUAGAGCUGUGGCAAAUGUUGAGAUGUAACUUUUCAUAUGCCAUUCCUGCAUCCCAAACUCCUCUCCAUCAUCUCUGUAAAAGCUGGGGUAUCAACUCCCUGAGUCAUGCCUGUGUGCACAUGAGUAUGUUUUAAGAACAGAAGUAAUGGGAUAGUCUUUUGCCAUUUUUUCUGUCUUCUGCUUCCCCGCCCCCCCCGGCCCCGUUUCUGGCCUUCUUGCACAUGUGUUUGCUCUGCCUACAUCUUAUUCUAACAUUGGCCUCCUAUGCUCUUUUAGAAGCCUUAUCACCCAAAAGUCUAGUUAGAGGGGAUUAGCCAGUAACCAUGACUAAGAGAAUGGCAUUUGCAGCAUCUUCAUUUAAAAGGCAAAUCCCUACUCUGCAUGGAGCUCUACCAUUUCUUUACAAAUGGUAGGAGUCUCCAGCACCAGAAUUAAUGCGCUGAUGUAUUUAAGCCCCUUAUAGCUCAUGACACCUACCUUGUAAAGCCUUAAAUGACUGAGAAGAUGCUGUUAGGUGACUGCCUGUGAUUCUUUAUCAUCCCCCUACUCCCUGACAAUGACUAAAUUGCAUUUUUUCAGGGCUAAUCACCCACUUUAUACUCUAAGCAAAAGUGGGUGGAGGAAGAGGAACUGGAUUAUGGAAGCAUCAUACCAGUCAUAUGAGAGAGCAUGAUGGGACCUGACAUAACCUCGUGAUUUGGGGAACAUGACUCAUGCAGCUUUGCUAUCUAAGACAAUCUGCAUUUUAUAGUAGGCAACAGUGAGAUUGUUACCUGUCAUAGCCACCUCCAAGUUGCCAGGCACCUUGUGGCCAGUAGAAGAAAUAAGCAUAGCAUGCAUAGUUUUAGCCUUUGCAUUUAAAGGAGGAUGGCUGAAUCCUGAAUAAAAUGCCUCUUUUAUAUCCCUGUCAUUUACUCCUGCUUAUAAGUGGUGCAGGGCAAGAGGAUUCGUGGCAUUGAAAGUUCAAGGACUUUUCUAAUCCUGGGAGUUUUCUCUGCUAUGUUUUUGAAAAAGGGAUUAAAUAUCCCUUUAAUAACACAGUUUGGAAUAUUUAUCACCAUGACAUCUCUCUAGAAGAGAAACAUCCUCCUGGCACUUAGGAGAGAAAAAUGUUCAUUUAUGACACUGCAUGCCCAGAAAUUAUGCCCAUGGAAGAAUAAUCACUGAUAAUAUGAACUUGAUUUUUCUCCAAUAAGUUCUUUCUUGCCCUCAUUCAGCUAAACACCUAAUGCAGUUGUUGCUAAUAAAGCACAACUGUUGAGUCACUACUCCCUGCUCUAUUUCAGCAGAAAGUAUGAGAUCUCACUAUAACGUAUCUCCAGUGAAUUACAAAGCUGCCCAAGUUCAUGUGUUUGACCCCAGUCUACCUUUCCCUGCUUGAUUUACUCUGCUCCAUUACCAAACUUCUGGUUCUGGCCAGGCUUCUCUCUCCAGUGCCCUCCCCACUAUGCUUUGCCACUAGAGAACACACAACCUUCCAGGGACAGCAGGAAUGCCACCUCUUACAUGAAGCCAUCACUAAUCCCCAUCAUCUAUCUCCGGCUGAGCCUUGAAAUUGCACAGAACUCAUUCUCUUUUCUCAGAUACCUAUACCCUGCUUUUAAUCUCUUUUGUAUUACCAGUUGAUACUUGGGACCACAAACUGGUGGUGGUUCACAGUGUUACCCUAUUCUCAAGACAUUUUAAGGCAUUGUAGUCAGUAUCUCAGAAUUAGAAUAUCUUAAAAAUUUUGAUCCUUGAACCCUUUAAAUGUGACAACAGCUGGUAACCUUGGGCCAACAUUUAAAAUGACAGCAAUUAAUGAGAACUGAGUGGCAACCAUCAUCUGUACCUGUGAAUAUAUUCUUGAGUUUGCUAAAGAUCACACUCCUCCCUUUUAAUUUCAUCCAGCCAGCUGUACUCAUUAUGUUCUUUCAUAAUGAUCACUCCUAGAACUUUGCACUAAUACACAAAUUGGCCUUUUCCCUUCCCUUUUGUUUUUCUUUUAUUUAUUAUUACUCUGAUUCUCUACUGUUUGCUUCCCACAUAGAUGCUGAAAUAAUCUUUUUU